rnacentral:lncRNA from 1 species
AACUUGACGUACACACGCAGUCCUAUCCCUACGGUCCUGGAAUUGGGGGUUACUAUCUUGGAAUCUAGGGGCACUCCAGGCUCUGGGCUCAGACGGCUGGCUUCUGCCUACCCGAGCCUUAACCUUUCAAGGACCAGAAGGAUUCCAGAGCUCUUGCCCUAGGUCCUGGGGCAGCGAUGACUCACUGCAGCACCCCCUCCCACUUCGCCAAGCUGCCGUCUCCGCCCACCCCCAAACAAUCUCGACAGCGCAUUUCGGGAGCCACGGCUCCGGGCGCUUUGCUGGGGGCUAAAGGGGUUUAUCCCUUUCCUUGAAUCCCAGCAGGCUAGAACUACCCCCUCCCAGUCUUCAGGCUUGCCACGCUCUCCACCCGAUCCUUCCAUUGAAAGGCAGAGAAGGAAGGAUGUGCUUGGGAACUUUAAGACCCACGAACGACAGCGCACUGAUGGAGCAGCCCAGUGUCUGGGGGGUUGACUUCAGGACUGGAGUAUGUGAAGAUUCUGGUAUAUCUGCAAGGAUCCUGGAACCAAUCCCCUGCCAACACCAAGGGAUGAAUCAAAGUCCUCGAGGUUCAUUCAUUCAGGAAGCCUCUGACCAGCCUUUACCAUGCGCUGAGUGAGAAGCUGAGGAUAAGGAAAGAGCAAGACCCCCAAGAAACCCUGAUGUCUGGCUGAAAGCCGAAGCAUGACGCAACUUUGCUAUAUUUCUCUCCAACAAGGAUUUGUAUAUUUUCGCUUUCUCCUCAAGUAACACCUGGACCUGCUCCUUUCCCUUCAAACGCUGAGGGCUCAGUCUCCAAGUUCCUUUAUGAAACAGGGUGUACCAUCAGAGACGCAGGUAUUUAUUGAAACCUGCUUUGUGCUGGGCAAUGUGCCAGAUGUUGGGGAUAAAAUGUUGGAUCUUUUUCAUCUACUUCAAUCAAAACCACGUAUCACAACAGACUGAAGGCAGAACAGAUAUGAUCAUCAAGCUGUCUUCUGUUAAUCCAGAUGUUAAAUGUAAAACAGUGCUACUCUUUGUACUAAAUGCUUUAUUUUGGAAAAUAUCAUUAUUUCUCUUAAAAAUGUGCUAUUUAUGUUAACAUAGGAGUUUAUUGUUAUUUUUGAGUGAAUAAAGCAAUAUUUUUAAAUUUCUUAGUUUUAAGAUUGAAUACAGUAAAUAUUGAUAGGUAUAAUACAUAUAAAUAAAACUCUUUGGGGUCCUUAAUACUUUUUAGGAGUGUAAGGGGUUCCUGAGAGCAAAAUUUUGAGGAUCCUACCUAGUGCAUGAGAACAUGGGCUCUGGAGCCAGGCCUGCCUGGGUAUAUCCUAUUAUCGCUGGGUUUUUUUUUUAAUUUUAUUUUACGUUUAGGGGUACAUGUGCAGGUUUGUUAUGUAGAUAAUAAACUCAUGUCAUGGGGAUUUGUUGUACAGAUUAUUUUGUUACCCAGGUACGAAGCCUAUUACCCAGUGGUUAUUUUUUUUGCUCCUCUCCCUCCUCUCAUCCUCCACCCUCAAGUAGGCCCCAGCAUCUGUUGUUUCCUUCUUUCUAUUCAUGAGUUCUCAUCAUUUAGUUCCCACUUAUAAGUGAGAACAUGCAGUAUUUGGUUUUCUGUUCCUGGGUUAGUUUGCUAAGGAUAAUGACCUCCAGCUCCAUCCAUCCCAUGUUCCUGCAAAAGACAUAAUCUCAUUCUUCUUUAUGGCUGCAUAGUAGUCCAUGGUGUAUGUGUACCAUAUUUUCUUCAUACACUCUGUCAUUGAUGGGCAUAUAGGAAGAGAUGUUGGACCUUGGGCAAAUUAUUCCCACUUUGUCUGCACUAGUUUUAUAAGCAAUAUAGAAACAGUUCCUACAUUCAUUCUAGGGGUGUUAUGAAUGAUAAACAGGUGGGCACAGAUCCGUUAGCUCUUGUCUAAUUUGUGAGUGAGUACUCUUUCCACUAGAUUCACUUUUCCAAGCUUUGCUGUCCAUAUUUCUGAGGGUUUUUUUUUUUUUUUUUCUGAGACUUCAGCCCAGGCUGGAGUGCAGUGGCACAAUCUUGGCUCACCGCUACCUCCAAUUCCCAGGUUCAAACGAUUCUCCAGCCUCAGCGUCCCAAGUAGCUGGGAUUACAGGAAUGCACCAUCACACCCAGCUAAUUUUUGUAUUUUUAGUAGAGAUGGGGUUUCACCACAUUGGCCAGGCUCGUCUCAAAUUUCUGACCUCAGGUGAUCCACCCGCCUCGGCCUCCCAAAAUGCUGGGAUUACAGGUGUGAGCCACUGCGUACAGCCCAUU